AGUGAACGCUGGCGGUAGGCCUAACACAUGCAAGUCGAACGGCAGCACAGUAAGAGCUUGCUCUUACGGGUGGCGAGUGGCGGACGGGUGAGGAAUACAUCGGAAUCUACUUUUUCGUGGGGGAUAACGUAGGGAAACUUACGCUAAUACCGCAUACGACCUACGGGUGAAAGCAGGGGAUCUUCGGACCUUUCGCGAUUGAAUGAGCCGAUGUCGGAUUAGCUAGUUGGCGGGGUAAAGGCCCACCAAGGCGACGAUCCGUAGCUGGUCUGAGAGGAUGAUCAGCCACACUGGAACUGAGACACGGUCCAGACUCCUACGGGAGGCAGCAGUGGGGAAUAUUGGACAGUGGGCGCAAGCCUGAUCCAGAGAUACCGCGUGGGUGAAGAAGGCCUUCGGGUUGUAAAGCCCUUUUGUUGGGAAAGAAAAGCAGCAGGUUAAUACCCAGAUGUUCUGACGGUACCCAAAGAAUAAGCACCGGCUAACUUCGUG
rnacentral:rRNA from 1 species